GACGAACGCUGGCGGCGUGCUUAACACAUGCAAGUCGAACGGAAAGGCCCUGCUUUUGUGGCUUGCUCGAGUGGCGAACGGGUGAGUAACACGUGAGUAACCUGCCCUUGACUUUGGGAUAACUUCAGGAAACUGGGGCUAAUACCGGAUAGGAGCUCCUGCUGCAUGGUGGGGGUUGGAAAGUUUCGGCGGUUGGGGAUGGACUCGCGGCUUAUCAGCUUGUUGGUGGGGUAGUGGCUUACCAAGGCUUUGACGGGUAGCCGGCCUGAGAGGGUGACCGGCCACAUGGGGACUGAGAGACGGCCCAGAAUCCUACGGGAGGCAGCAGGGGGGAAUAUUGCACAAUGGGCGGAAGCCUGAUGCAGCAACGCCGCGUGCGGGAUGACGGCCUUCGGGUUGUAAACCGCUUUCUCCUGUGACGAAGCGUGAGUGACGGUAAUGGGUAAAGAAGCACCGGCUAACUACGUG
rnacentral:rRNA from 1 species